UUUAUUAGAAUUUUAGGAGAUCGCAGUAAGUUUUUAUAUAGAGUUUUUUGGGGUAGGCUAGCACAAAAGCAGGGGAAAUUUUCACAGGUAAGCGCUAGAAUUCUUGCCGAGAGCAGGUGUCAUCCGAGACGCUCGCAGGUUGGAUAUAUAAACCGGCGAGUUAGCCUUAGAGAGGAUGGAGAAACGGCGGCCCCUGCAAGACUAACCCAGUGUAAGGGGGAUUGCUAAUGUAAUCAGAAAGUUGAUGGCUGAGAUAAAGUGGCUGAGGCUUGUGAAUGGAAUAGGAAUUAGGGAUAAUUAAUGAGCGUCAAGCUGAUACAGUAGAAGAACUGAAGAAUUUAUACACAAUGAAGUGAAAAGUGAUGUAAAAACAACUAAUACUUCCUUCUAUUGUAGUUAAACAAGAAUCUGCAAAUGCCAAUAAUUGCAAUAAUCUUGAUAUAUACAUUUUUAGCUUUAUAAUGCAA